UCGGGUAUGGUGUAACGGCUAACAUUGCCGCCUCUCAGUCCGCUUGCGUUACGUAGGCAGUGGCCGCGGCAGCUCGGGGUUCGAUUCCCCGUACCCGAA
rnacentral:tRNA from 1 species